rnacentral:rRNA from 1 species
ACGGGUGAGUAAUGUCUGGGGAUCUGCCCGAUAGAGGGGGAUAACCACUGGAAACGGUGGCUAAUACCGCAUAACGUCGCAAGACCAAAGAGGGGGACCUUCGGGCCUCUCACUAUCGGAUGAACCCAGAUGGGAUUAGCUAGUAGGCGGGGUAAUGGCCCACCUAGGCGACGAUCCCUAGCUGGUCUGAGAGGAUGACCAGCCACACUGGAACUGAGACACGGUCCAGACUCCUACGGGAGGCAGCAGUGGGGAAUAUUGCACAAUGGGCGCAAGCCUGAUGCAGCCAUGCCGCGUGUAUGAAGAAGGCCUUCGGGUUGUAAAGUACUUUCAGCGGGGAGGAAGGCGAUGCGGUUAAUAACCGCGUCGAUUGACGUUACCCGCAGAAGAAGCACCGGCUAACUCCGCGCCAGCAGCCGCGGUAAUACGGAGGGUGCAAGCGUUAAUCGGAAUUACUGGGCGUAAAGCGCACGCAGGCGGUCUGUUAAGUCAGAUGUGAAAUCCCCGGGCUUAACCUGGGAACUGCAUUUGAAACUGGCAGGCUUGAGUCUUGUAGAGGGGGGUAGAAUUCCAGGUGUAGCG